CUCAGUGGUGUCGUGGUGGUGGCCGGGAGCCUGCUGACGCCACCCCCGCACAGGGCUCAGAUUGAGAACCUUACCUGGUGGACCCUGGCUCGGGAUGUACUCAUGGGAGCCAAAGCAGGCGAUGGCCGGAUACCCCAGAAGCACGCCUUCUGGGCCCGAGUAUGUGGCUUCAAUGCCAUCCUGCUCAUCUGUGUCAAUAUCUUCUUCUACGCCUACUUUGC